UGGGGAAUCUUGCACAAUGGGCGAAAGCCUGAUGCAGCAACGCCGCGUGCGGGAAGACAGCCCUAGGGUUGUAAACCGCUUUCAGCAGGGAAGAAACUGACGGUACCUGCAGAAGAAGAUGCGGCCAACUACGUGCCAGCAGCCGCGGUGACACGUAGGCAUCAAGCGUUAUCCGGAUUUAUUGGGCGUAAAGAGCUCGUAGGCGGUUCGGUAAGUCGGGUGUGAAAACUCUGGGCUCAACCCAGAGAGGCCACUCGAUACUGCUGUGACUAGAGUGCGGUAGGGGGAGCGGGGAAUUCCUGGUGUAGCGGUGAAAUGCGCAGAUAUCAGGAGGAACACCAGUGGCGAAGGCGCCGCUCUGGGCCGUAACUGACGCUGAGGAGCGAAAGCAUGGGUAGCAAACAGGAUUAGAUACCCUGGUAGUCCAUGCCGUAAACGUUGGGCACUAGGUGUGGGUCUCAACCAACGAGAUCCGCGCCGUCGCUAACGCAUUAAG
rnacentral:rRNA from 1 species